rnacentral:piRNA from 1 species
AAAGCACUUCGGUUUCUGCCCUGCUUGGCGUG